CCCCCAUCAAAUUUUUUAUCGAAAGUUUGUUUCUAUGGCAAAUAUGAACGCGCGUCCUGCAGCCUCGGUUGUUGUUCAUGGGGCGCAACCAUUGACAAUUCCGCAGCUUCACUAACCACUCAAAUCAUGCGUGUUUUGUCACGAGUAGUGUCACAUUCAAUUUCUUCUGGCAGCUUGCCGAGCCCGUCUCCGCUCUGUUAUACAGAAAAGGGAAUUCUAUUUCGGGGGUUGCUAUUUAUUCUAUUUCUUCCAGGGUUGCUUUCCAGGAGUGCCAAUAAUAGGUGACACUUUGUGUUCGCAGCUGACAGCGGGCCCAUAUGCGGCAACGGCGUUGUCGAGCGAGGCGAACAGUGCGACUGCGGCUUCCACGACGCCGACUGCGCAGACCGGUGUUGCCACGCUAGGCAUAACGUUGUCGGUGCACCGGGGUGCACUCUGCGCAUCGGCGCCGUCUGCAGCCCGUCGGCCGGACAGUGCUGCGACGAAGCGUGCGGCUUCAAGAACUUGUCCAACGUGUGCGCAGAGGAGACGGAGUGCAGGGAGCAGGCCACAUGCGACGGCGACCGUGCCGCGUGCGCACCGGGUCGAGCCAAGGCCGAGAUGACUCCGUGCGCCGGUGGCAGCCGCGUCUGCGUCCAGGGCGACUGCUCGCAAUCUGUGUGUCUCAAGUACGGACUUCGCGAGUGCAGCCUGGCCGGCGCAGGCCGGUUCUCCUCUCAGCAACUUUGUCUGGUCGCCUGCCAAGACGGUGUGUGUGCACGACACGUAUGCACGCGACUGUGGUGGGCCACAAACGAAAAGUUGUCGUAACGCGUCGUGAAAUGUAAAGCUCGUAAAAACAUGCAUUGUCCUUUCAACGGGUUUUCAUUUCCUUUACGAUUUACAGAAAUAUCAUUGGUAAAGGCUGAAAAUUGGCACCGAGACUUCGUUGAACUUCGGUGAAGACUUGUCGAAUUUUUCAUCGCUCAAUGUUAAACAUAGACUGCUGACAUUUCUCAAAGUUUAUAUGUACCACGUGGCAUACAAUCUCCGCUUCACACCUGCCGCAGUAGCUCGGUGACUAUGGCGUUCUGCUGCUGGGCUUUAGGUUGCGGCUAGGAAUCGCGGCGGCCUCGCAUUUUGAUGAGGGCGAAAUCCAAAAACGCUCGUAUGCUUAAAUUUAGGUACAGGUCAAAGAACCCCAGGGGGUCAAAAUUAAUACGGAACGCCCUGCUACGGCGUCCCUCAUAUAGCCCAAGGACUGAUUUCGGACAUUAACCACAAUGAAUAAAUAAAUCUCCAUUGCAUGCAACUACACCAAAUGUUCAUAGUCAUUCGGUUUACGUAAA
rnacentral:lncRNA from 1 species